rnacentral:rRNA from 1 species
UUUAAUUAUUAAUUUAAUUCAAAAUAAUAAAAAAUUUUCCUAAUAAUCAAUCCUUUCGUACUAGAAUAUUUAAAUAAUUUAAAGAUAGAAACCAACCUGGCUCACACCGGUUUAAACUCAGAUCAUGUAAAAUUUUAAAGGUCGAACAGACCUAAUUAAACUAGCUUCUACACCAAUUAUUUAUUUUAAUCCAACAUCGAGGUCGCAAUCUUUUUUUUCGAUAAGAACUCUCAAAAAAAAUUACGCUGUUAUCCCUAAGGUAAUUUAGCCUUUUAAUCAAAAAUAUUGGAUCAAAAAAUCAUAAAUCAAUGUAAAAAAUAUAAAAAAAGUUAAUUUAAUUUAUCAAUCACCCCAAUUAAAUAUAAAAAAAAAUUAAAACUAUCUAUCCUAAGCUAUUUUUAGAGAUUUUUUUAUAUUAAACUCUAUAGGGUCUUCUCGUCUUUCAAAUAAAUUUUAGCUUUUUCACUAAAAAAUAAAAUUCUAAUAAUAUUAAUCAGAGACAGAAAUUUUCUCAUCCAACCAUUCAUUCCAGCUUCUAAUUAAGAAACUAAUGAUUAUGCUACCUUAGCACGGUCAAAAUACCGCGGCCAUUUAAAUACUCAUAGAGCAGGCUAAACCUAAAAUAAAUUACAAUAGGCCAUGUUUUUAAUAAACAGGUGAAAAAUACUUUGCCGAAUUCCUUUAAUUAAUCUUAAUAAUCAAUUUAAUCAUACAUAACAAAUAUAUAUACUAAUUUUAUCAUUUUUUCUUUAAAAAUUAAAUUCAAAUAAAUAUUUUAAUAAAAAAUUUAUAAAUUAAAAAAAAAAUAAUAUUCUCAUAUAAAUAAAUUAUAACAUUUUACUAUUAAUAGAAACUUCUAAUCCUAUAAUUUUAUAAUAUCUACUAAUAAUUUAAUAAACUUCUUUUCUCAAGCUUAUCCCUAAAAAAAUAAAACUCCACUAAUAAAAAAUUAAUAAAAUAACUUUUUAUUAAAUAAAAUUUAAAAUUAAAUUUUUUUCUUAAAAAACUAGAUAUAUUUAAAAACGAAUAACAUUUCACUACUAAAAAUUCAUUAUAAAUAUUUAUUUAACAAUAAAAUACCCAAAUUCUUAGCUCUUUUAAAUUCGAGAUACUAGUAAUAAACUAAAAUUUUUAAUAAACCCUGAUACACAAGGUACAAAAAAUUAAUCCUUCUUAAAAUUAAAAAAAAAUAAUCUUUCACAAUACAAAUCAACUAUAAUAAAUAAAAUUUUUUCUCUAUAAAUAAUAAAACUAAAAUCUAUUUAUUUUAAAAAUUAAAAAUAAAAAAAAAAAUAAUAAAUCCAUAUUU